AUCAAAUCAAACCAAACAUCAGAAACAUGACUGUCCAUUGAAGAAGUCACCUUAUGGCGGCAUCGAAGACUACACCGCACAUAGCAGGGAAGUUGCUUCAAUGGAUUCAAGUUUAUCUAAUGCAGGAACUAAGUUUCACAAAUUGUUUUGACUAGAAAAACAACCUCUGCGUUGGAGGGUGCUGAGUAGCUGUUACUAAAGUCAAACAACUUAUGAUCGGGUAAAGGCGGCGAGAUAAGACAUAAGCUUUAUGUCCACUAAGCAGCAGUGAAGCACACAAAGCGUUCGAUGAAACGCCAAAGCGAGAAUCAAAACCAUUCCUCAAGGGCUCAAGAAGAAGCAAAACUCAGAGCCUGUAAAGACUUCGGUCAAGCCAAUAUCAAAACGUUGCUUAGAUCGUUGGAUUAUACCGCCAGCAUAUUCACUCACAGAUAAGUCAUCUAUACUCAAAAUCAUGAUGCCACUAGAAUACACAAUGCUGCAACACUGUUACAACACUAUGGAAUAAUACUUAUAGGAUCAAGAAAACAUGUAAGAGGUAUCAUUAUUGAUUUACAUAGCCUAGAAUCCUUAAUUUGUAAACUUUAGUUCAAUCACAUGACAUGCAUGUAGCAUAACAAGGAUCAUGUAGAGAUUAUAAUCUCUGUAUUAUGGACUUCUUUAGGAUGAGCAUUCUCAUAUAUUCUCUUGGCUAUUGGGGCUGGUUUCUGAACUUGUUUAUUAACUGGUUAUUUAGUCCUGUUCUCUGCAUUAAUUUCGCAAAUCCAAAACCAUAGCCAGGAAAUUAUCAUCAAGGAGAACAUUUUGUUGUUUGAUGUGACAAUAUCCAUUUAUCCAAUGAACCUUUUUUCGUGUAUUCAUAUACACAAGCAUGCGAUGAGGACCUUCAGCGCAAAACUCUUUAAGCCUCACAAGACGAACAUUGGAAGUUUCAGACAAUAGCCGUCAGAUGCAGGAACACGCUGCUCAGAGAGGUGUGCUUAAUGAAUUUGCAACACGGGUUGUCAACUUUAUCUGUCCAAAUAGGCCCUGAUGAAACCCAAAAACCCGGCAAGCCAUGUCGACUAAGUGAGGGAGUUCAUUUUAUGGAGAAUCAGUUUCAUAUGUUGGUGAAGCAUACUGCCAGUUUCAUGGAAAGAGGUACUGCGUGAUAGCUAUUUUCUUGUGAAGGAUUUAUAAUACAUCAAAGGGUAUUCGUUUAAUGGUUUCACAAGGAUACAAACAGGAGGAUUUCAUCUAGAUCAAUUUUAUAUUGUCAUUUAUGGUGAUAAAAUAAAUGGUUAUGUUAUUUUACAGCGCAUGAAUUGUAAUUUUGAUUGGCUUUUCCUUAUCUGCAUUAAAUAUGCUACCAAGGGCAGUUAAGUGUUUCCACUAAUUAGCCUUUCUCACAAUACAAAGAUCAGCAAGAGUUUUAGUUAAGCAGGUGUAAAAUUUGGAUUUAUUUUUGGGACUAAUCGCUUCAAGUUUUUAUUUGGAUAAAAAUUAAUGACUUCAAUAUGUCCUUUGGAAUGAAGACUAAUAUCUUAUCUCAUUUACUACACUUUUUCUUAAUUUAUUAC
rnacentral:lncRNA from 1 species